UGAGGAAUAUUGGGCAAUGCCCGCAAGGGUGACCCAGCAACGCCGCGUGGAGGAUGAAUGUCGUAAGAUUGUAAACUCCUGUUAGAGGGGAAGAAUAGUACCGGUUGGACCGGUAUAUGACUGUACCCUCAGAGAAAGCCCCGGCUAACUACGUGCCAGCAGCCGCGGUAAUACGUAGGGGGCAAGCGUUGUCCGGAUUUACUGGGCGUAAAGGGCGCGCAGGCGGGAUAAAAAGUCAGUGGUGAAAUCCUACAGCUUAACUGUAGAACUGCCUUUGCUACUUUUAUUCUUGAGUUCGGGAGAGAGAGACGGAAUUCCAGGUGUAGUGGUGAAAUACGUAGAUAUCUGGAAGAACACCAGUUGCGAAGGCGGUCUCUUGGUCCGACACUGACGCUGAGGCGCGAAAGCGUGGGGAGCAAACA
rnacentral:rRNA from 1 species